rnacentral:rRNA from 2 species
UGGGGAAUAUUGCGCAAUGGGGGAAACCCUGACGCAGCAACGCCGCGUGAAGGAUGAAGGCUUUCGGGUUGUAAACUUCUUUGAUCGGGGACGAAGAUGACGGUACCCGGGGAACAAGCCACGGCUAACUACGUGCCAGCAGCCGCGGUAAUACGUAGGUGGCAAGCGUUGUCCGGAAUUACUGGGUGUAAAGGGCGUGUAGGCGGGAAGGCAAGUCAGAUGUGAAAUCCCAGGGCUUAACUCUGGAGCUGCAUCUGAAACUGUUUUUCUUGAGUACUGGAGAGGAGAGGGGAAUUCCUGGUGUAGCGGUGAAAUGCGUAGAGAUUAGGAGGAACACCAGUGGAGAAGGCGGCUUUCUGGACAGUAACUGACGCUGAGGCGCGAAAGCGUGGGGAGCAAACAGG